rnacentral:rRNA from 1 species
AGGGUGCAAGCGUUACUCGGAAUUACUGGGCGUAAAGCGUGCGUAGGUGGUGAGUUAAGUCUGAUGUGAAAUCCCCGGGCUCAACCUGGGAAUGGCAUUGGAUACUGGCUCGCUAGAGUGCGGUAGAGGGUGGUGGAAUUCCCGGUGUAGCAGUGAAAUGCGUAGAGAUCGGGAGGAACAUCUGUGGCGAAGGCGGCCACCUGGACCAGCACUGACACUGAGGCACGAAAGCGUGGGGAGCAAACAGG